ACGGCCGAACGAACGACCUAAUAGCUGCCAUACACCCGCGUCUCUAUAAUUGUUUUUCAUACUUCCAGUUUAUUGUUUGUCGUCUUCAAGGCGGGCUUUUUUUUUUCACCCAAGAACUUUCCAAAUAACGUCCAGUUACGGCUAAAUGUGUUCGCUGCACUCUUAGGGACGACGACCACACCAAGCCUUGAAUUAUCCGUUCAAUAAUUACACUUCAUGUCUGCCGAGUUGAGUAUUGAACACAAAAGUCGUGGUCGUCGUCGUCAUCCAUUUUUGUCCAGUCGGUUCCGUCUCUCGCAGUAACUACCUUUUCUAGUCAGACCGUCGUUCAGAAUUUGCAAGUACUUGUCACCUUGCUUCUCACACAUAUUGGUUGUGUUGUUUCGAUCACAAGGCACAGUGACGACUAUUUACCUGACUUCAUGUUAUCGACAUUAGUCGGGGCCGACGACUAUUAAGAUUUACCGGACCUACAAACGGAGACUAGUAAUGGCGCCGGUGACCAGGAGAAAACAUAAGAAUGUACGUAAGGUAACAGCAAAACAGCCGAUGCUCAAGGAUAAAAUGGUAGUGCUAAGCCUUAGAGAUGGUAAAGCGUGUAUGUUUUGCAAUAGAAAAGAAAUAAGUGAAAAAGCAUAUGGUCCACUUUAUCAACUUAACGAUAUCAUUGUUCAUUAUUUUUGUAUUUUGUUAUCUUCUAGAGCAGUUCAAAAUGGUUCAGAUAAGGAAGGAAUUUGGGGAUUUUUAUUUAAAGAUAUUAAAAAUGAAUUGAUUAGAGGAGCUAGAGAAAUCUGCACUUACUGUAAGAAACCUGGUGCUACUAUAUCAUGUUGUACCCCAAGAUGUCGUAAAAUAUUUCAUCUACCUUGUGGAUUGAAAAAUGGAUCAAUGCAUCAAUUUUUUCAAACAUUCAAAUCUUUUUGCCAACAGCAUCGAGUAGCACAAAAUAUAGAUAUCCAAGACAUACAACAUUCCACUCCGGUUCAGUGUUCUAUUUGUAAAGAAGAUGUUAUACCUACUCCUCUUCCAUCAUCUAUCUGGGCUCCAUGUUGCAAACGUAAUGCUUGGUUUCAUCGAGACUGUAUUCAAGAAUUGGCAUUAAAUGCUGGCUACUUUUUUAAAUGUCCAUUGUGUAAUAAUGUUGAAUUAUUCAAGAGUAGGAUGCUUACUCUUGGGAUUUAUAUACCAUCAAGUCACAAGAAAAAAUUAAUACGCAGGGAUGCAUCAUGGGAAACAGUACCUGACGCAUAUGUUGAGCUUUUAGAACGUCAUAGUACUUGCAAUGCUGAUACAUGUUUAUGUCCUCAUCCAGAGAGAAGGAACUUUCAACAAGAGACUGGAUCCUGGGAAAUAAUAUUAUGUCAUGCUUGUGGUUCAUAUGGUACACAUAAGUUGUGCAGUUCUCUUAAGUGUAAUGAACAGUGGUACUGUAACUCCUGUCAUAGUAUAGCUGUUACAGAAAAUCCUGUCACUGUCAGAAUAAGACGAUUAGAAAUUACUGAUAACACAAAUUCACCUACAACCACCCAAGUAGAAAUUACAUCAUCCCAAACUAGUAAUUUAUCACAGGUUGAUACAAGAGGAACAUUAAUGAACUUGACUUCUAGAGAUAGAGCUAGACAGGUUAGAAACAACAGAGGUGUGUUAGGAAAUAAUGUAGCUCGGCAGCCCUUAUUUGCGACAAAUGAAGUAAUUUCACUAUUAUCUGAUGAUGAAGAAGAUGUUCAUGAAAAUAAUGCUGAAGCUGAUACUAGUAAUGGGAAUGACGUACAGGUAUGGCCAAUUAGAAUAUGUGUUAUUCUUUAAUGUAUACCAUACAUGUUCUAGAUCUAGUACAUAUUCGAAGCAUAAACUGAUAGGUUUUUUUUUUAUGGAACAUUUUGUAUAUUGAUUCUACUUUUAAUACAUUUUAACCAUCACAAGAAUGCAAUUUAUUCAAUCUCAACCAAUAUUAAAAUAUAUAGCCUAUAUAGAACCACCAAACCAAGUUAUUGAACAAUCUUUUCUACCAGUAAUACAAUGUUACUCAUCAGUGAGUAGUAGUACU
rnacentral:misc_RNA from 1 species